UCCUAUUAAACCUGGUUCUUCUUGAGAAGAGAGAACUGUGCUGUGUUCAUUGUGGAAUACUGCACAAUUCACCCAGGGCCUAACUCCUUGGAAACAGCCCUCACAAAGAAAGAUUUUCAAAGAAAUGCUUCAUCAUUCAGAGACAGGUGACAUCCUCAAUGAGCUCAAGUUCCAAGCCCAUAGAGCUGCAUGGGCCACCAGAGUCCUCCGAGGCCCCUGGCAAGCUGCAGAUCCUGCCUUCCUGUCUCAAAGUUUACAGCCACUGCAAAGGUCAGGAAUUGUGGUCCUCACAUGUAAAAGAUGAGACAGCCAGGGAGCAGGCAAGUUUGCAACCCAGAGCUCUCUUGAGGAACACGGAGCAAAGCCACCAGCCAAGGCAUGUUGUUUCCGUCAUAAUGUGUGCUGCACAGUGUGGAAGAGUUUUAUGGUGGCCCUGGCCUAGAGCUGUAAAGUUUAUUUCUGCACAUUAGCUAGUCCAUUGUCCCCUGCCCCCAAUAUCUCUUUCAUCUUCUUUAGGUAGACUUGUCAGGAUCCUCUUUUAAACACAAG
rnacentral:lncRNA from 10 species